UACAGAGGUCUCAAGCGUUGUUCGGAUUCAUUGGGCGUAAAGAGCGUGUAGGCGGCCAGGUAGGUCUGCUGUGAAAACUCGAGGCUUAACCUCGAGCUGUCGGCGGAAACCAUCUGGCUAGAGUCCGGAAGAGGAGAAUGGAAUUUCCGGUGUAGCGGUGAAAUGCGCAGAUAUCAGGAGGAACACCGGUGGCGAAGGCGGGUCUCUGGGCCGAUACUGACGCUGAGGAGCGAAAGCGUGGGGAGCGAACAGG
rnacentral:rRNA from 1 species